GCUUUUUUUGCUGGGGCAUCUCACAAAGUGUAGCACGGUCCCCGUGUGAGAGUUGGAGUUAAUGAAGUCUGACUUCCUCUGGGCUUGUUUGCCGUGGUUAGCUGACUGUGAUCUCUAAGAACAAAAGGCUUUUUGUGUUGUCGGAGCUUCAUGUGGCUCUCUCUGUCCCUUCUGUGACAUCUCUGCAGUCUGUCCCCUGUUUGAAGGGCUUUUGUGGUCUCCUGUACUCAGAUAGCUGAUCUCAGAAAACCGAUAGGAACUCCCUUACCUCCUGUCCUCACCCACUCCAACAGACUGCUGAAAGGAGGCUUCAGCAAAAACCUACAGCACUGCAGCAUGACUGUAAAAGCCACAUUUUCAUCAGAAACAGGGCAGCUAGGCUUUCCACAAAUCUAUUUUUUCUGCCUUUCAGCUCUGCAGCACCAAUUGGGCUGAGCAAGUUCUCCCCACCCUUCCGCGGGCCCUUCGGCUACACGUGCGUGGCUUCACCUGCGGCAGCUCCCAGGACAGGCUGGCUCAGCUCCUGCGAGCAGAGGAUGGCAGUUCCUUCAGACAGGCACGUGGUGGAUUUUUGGAAGAGUUUCCAUGUUUCCAGCAGUGAGUCUGUGAGUUUCUGACGAGGCUGGGAGAAGCGCAGGGACCCUAUGCUGCAGCAGACAGGAGGGCUCACAUCGGG
rnacentral:lncRNA from 1 species